AUGAACGCUGGCGGCGUGCCUAAUCCAUGCCAGUCGAGCGAACAGAUGAGGAGCUUGCUCCUCUGACGUUAGCGGCGGACGGGUGAGUAACACGUGGAUAACCUACCUAUAAGACUGGGAUAACUUCGGGAAACCGGAGCUAAUACCGGAUAAUAUAUUGAACCGCAUGGUUCAAUAGUGAAAGACGGUUUUGCUGUCACUUAUAGAUGGAUCCGCGCCGCAUUAGCUAGUUGGUAAGGUAACGGCUUACCAAGGCAGCGAUGCGUAGCCGACCUGAGAGGGUGAUCGGCCACACUGGAACUGAGACACGGUCCAGACUCCUACGGGAGGCAGCAGUAGGGAAUCUUCCGCAAUGGGCGAAAGCCUGGCGGAGCAACGCCGCGUGAGUGAUGAAGGUCUUCGGAUCGUAAAACUCUGUUAUUAGGGAAGAACAAAUGUGUAAGUAACUAUGCACGUCUUGACGGUACCUAAUCAGAAAGCCACGGCUAACUACGUG
rnacentral:rRNA from 1 species